ensembl:lncRNA
UUUAUAAACAUUAUAAAAGCAUUGCAUCAUUUUCCUUUCACGGUCAGCAGGCCAAAUAAUACUGUAGAAUAGGCAUGUACUGGUAUUGUUAUUAUACUAAUGUUCAAAAAAAAGAAAAGUGCAGGUUCUUAAAGAAAGGCGCAGGGCAAUAAAAUAUGACACUAAAUGAUGUAAAUGACCAUUAUUAAUGCAGGAUUAUUUAAAAAAAUAGUUAAAAUCAACAUCAGCCAUCACUUAUGUUUUACUUAAUGCUGAAAAGUGUGCUGAUUAAAGAAGCAAUGACUUUGACUAGUUGAAUGUCAGCCUUUUGGGUUUGAUUAUAGAAUCAUAAAGACAUACAACAGGGUAUAAUACUCUGUUCACAAACCUGUCUAGCUCUUACUAAAUUAAGUUGCCAGCUGAAGACCUGCAAGUCACUCAAACUAGAAACACUAGUGGGUUAUUUGUGCACCAAAUAAAAUUGAAGAAGCAAUGCAAUUGCUUACGUGCGUGAAUGAGGCAACAACCUGUGUGGGUUUAAGUCUGCUAAAAUAGCCAAGGUAGAGCAUUUUUUUAAGCAAAUGUGCUGCUUCUUUAAUCAGCAUGACAGAUUUCAGCCUCUGCUAAUGUGAUUAAUUGGCCUUUUUAGACAAACCAGUUUUUUUUAGGUAACACAAUGUUCGAUGGAACACCUUACCAAAAAAAUUGGGAUUUUGGUAAGCGGUGGGGUAAAUACAUAAAUGUUUUAAAAUAGCUUUAUAGGUUAUUUCUAAAUAGUUUAUAUCAAAAUUUUCUAGAAGACCCUUGUGUAUUACACAGAUUAUCACCAAAGUUAUCCUUUAACAAAAUGUUGCAGGUUUGAUGCACUUCCACUUUAUAUACAAUUACCAAAUUUUUGUCUUUCUUUCUUUCUUUCUUUCUUUCUUUCUUUCUUUCUUUCUUUCUUUCUUUCUUUCUUUCUUUCUUUCUUUCUUUCUUUCUUUCUUUCUUUCUUUCUUUCAACAGAGAGAAACAAGAAGUCUCCAGAAUGCUGGGUUAACCAUAUCAUUUUUAUAAUCUGUUGUUAUCUGUUACACAUGGCUUCUCAUAUUGAGUUCUCACAUUGUCUAUACAUAAAAGUACUGUAUAAUACGCUCUGCUUACGACAGGUAAUGUUUCAGUAUGCAUGUAUGAAAUACAUUCCAAUAACUUGCACUUUUACAUUUAAAAUGUGAAGCUUUGUCAUGCGUGUAUGAAUAAUGGCAUCUAGUAUUUAGUAUAUAGUAUUUUUACACUGUAAAUACAAAGAUAAAAAUAAAGGUUUUGUUUAAGCCUAAGCAUGUAAACUGUGCCUCUAGUCUCCAUUUCUCUGUCUCCUUGUCUUGUUCUUUAUAAACAAAGCUAUUUAAAAUAUUAUCCCAUUCAGAUCCGGAAAGAACUGUUUGUUUCUGUGUGCGUCACCUAUUGUGUAACUAAUUGUCUGCAGCUGACUCCCAAGCCCCUCCUGUGACAGCUUAUUGGCAACACGGUUUAAUCCUUCCAACAUGUUUAUGUUUACCUGCCAACUUGUUAGUAUGGAGGCAGAGAAAAA